rnacentral:rRNA from 1 species
CCGGCGCCUGAGGAUGGCUCUGCGGCUUAUCAGGUUGUAGUGAGGGUAACGUCCUCACUAGCCUAUGACGGGUACGGGCCCUGAGAGGGGAAGCCCGGAGAUGGACUCUGAGACACGAGUCCAGGCCCUACGGGGCGCAGCAGGCGCGAAAACUCCGCAAUGCUCGAAAGAGUGACGGGGGGAUUCCAAGUGCCUACGCUCAGCGUAGGCUGUUCAGAUGCCUAAAAAGCAUCUGGAGUAAGGGCUGGGUAAGACGGGUGCCAUCUGUGGCAGCAGCCGAAAAUUUGGCUUGCUACUGCAAGGCAUAAGCCGCCGCGGUAAUACCCGCAGCUCGAGUGGUAGUCGAUUUUAUUGGGCCUAAAGCGUCCGUAUCCGGUCUGGUAAAUGCUUGGGUAAAUCGUCUGGCUUAACCAGACGAAUUCCGGGUAGACUACCAGACUUGGGACCGGUUGAGGAAGAGGGUACUUCAGGGGUAGGAGUGAAAUCCUGUAAUCCUUGAAGGACCACCAGUGGCGAAGGCGCUCUUCUAGGACGGGUCCGACGGUGAGGGACGAAAGCCAGGGGAGCAAACCGGAUUAGAUACCCGGGUAGUCCUGGCCGUAAAUGAUGUGGGCUUGGCAUUGGGGGUUCUACGUGAGCGCCC